GUGUUUUUAUAUAAUAUUAUAAUGUUAUUAAUUAGUUGAAUUCAUAUGGGCUUUGUUAUUGAGCUGAAGACAGCCGUAUUAAUAAUAGCAAUAACCACGCACCUGCUAUGCAAAUUAUUGCGCAAUCGGUGUUCAGGCAAAAAGUUGACCGAAAAAUGUGGGGUGUUUUUAACGCUUCACUACGAGCAUGAAAGAAGUAAUCCAAAUGAAAAAUUUGCAUAUGUGGGAGGAGAUAUGUCCAAAUAAGCAGUAUCUGACCUUGCCAUGACCGGAAAAUAAAAAAUCAUUGCUCAAAAGUGAAAGUGAAAAAUUCGAAGGCCAAUAUUUUGCAGAAAGAAUGCAGAUUCACUUGAAAUUUAGCUUUUAAUAAAUCAAUUAUUGUGUUUUUUAAUAAAUUCUAACCAUUUGAAUCAGGUAUAUGCGCGUGAAAUAAUAUAUAUUUAUUUAUUUCCAACACCACUAUUCCUGUGCAGUAGAGUUACUCCCCUUUACGCGGAAUUAUUACAUUGUUGUUACGGUGAAUUCGGGAGCGAUCUUUUGAGCAGUUUUAUGGAUAUCCGUACGAUAAACACACUAUUUGUUUGGCAGGAAGAGAAAUCGUCUCAUUUGGUAUCGAUGCAGAGAACAUGACUGACAAAGAUCUAUUGGACAGUGAUUAUGAUGGGAUUUCACAAAUACAUGAGCACAGUUACAUUGUGAUAUCGGACUCUGACGAGACACAACCACCUUCACCUUUUGGUUGACAGGAAUAUUCCAGUGAAAGAUCAGUUAUUUAACAGCCUUUUUGACAAACAAAUUCCUGGUGCUGCCAUUCCUAAUCAACCGACAUAUCAGAAUUUUGGAUAAGAAUUCAGAUUACUGGCUGCAUAUUCAACCGAAUUUUUGGGUCCUGGGUUGGUGGGGGGUAACGUGUUUCAGACCAGAAUCCUGCCGGACCAUCCUAUUGCAAGGACAUCUAACAUAGCUGAAAUGUAUCUGUAAUGAAUUAUUAAAAGUUUGGAUAAAAAA